ACGACACCGUUGCUCAUACCUGUACUGGACCAGUUUUGGAGUUCUGUGGAGUUUUUGAGGGCUUUAUACAACGUGCAACACAUAGAGAUGUCAGAAGCAUAAAUGACAUGAUGGCCAGGAGAUAUAGCUGGGGAAGAAUGGAAGUGGUUGUCCAGAGCCCAGAUGUGCAAAAAUUAAAGAAAGAUGGCCUGCCCAGGAUCCAAGUACCUCUGUGGUGAGGAAGAGAGACGUGGCUCUGAGAUGCCUCAUUGAAUACAUGGGAGAGAGUGGGCAAGAGCUGAUCUCUGACUACUAUGUAAAAACAGAGAGCAGUGUCUAUGAAGACUUGAAAAUGCGCAAUCUGCAGAUAUAUGUCUGCCGUGUACCAGAUGUAGUGGACAUCAUCAUUGAGGGCAUCCCUGUGCUGUCUUGGAAACCAGGCCAGGGCUCUGAACCUCCAGUAUCCACCACAACUCAGCAAAACAUUUAAGGUGUUUCAAAGACUUUUUGUGGGACUUGACACUGCGACUUGACACUGCGUCCAAAGUCUUCCUCCCGAUUCAUGACACAAAAACUUCUGAGUUAGUAAAUUAGUUGAGGUUCUGUUUCUUUGCUUCAUCACUUUUGUUCAAUGGACAGUUUUACUUGGAACAAUGUGGUAGUUACGCACAGACUUCUUCAGUUCCUGGAUAAGUCUGCAGCAAAUAUGGGCAUUUUGAUUUGCUUUUGUAUAU
ensembl:processed_transcript